rnacentral:pre_miRNA from 1 species
UGACUUUGGUCAAAGUCAAACUACUCCAAAUUUGACCAAGUCUAUACAAAAAUGUAGUAAUAUUUACGGCCCAUAUUAUGAAAAUAUAUUCAAUUAUAGAUGUAAUGGAACUAAUUUGGUGUUAUUUAUAUUACUAUAUUUGUCUAUAAAUUUAGUUAAAUUUGGAGUAGUUUGAAUUUGACAAAAGUCAA